rnacentral:lncRNA from 1 species
AUGGGAAAGACUAGAGAUCUCUUUAAGAAAAUUAGAGAUACCAAGGGAACAUUUCAUACAAAGAUGGGCUCAAUAAAGGACAGAAAUGGUUUGGACCUAACAGAAGCAGAAGAUAUUGAGAAGAGGUGGCAAGAAUACACAGAUGAACUAUACAAAAAAGAUCUUCACGACCCAGAUAAUCAUGAUGAUGUGAUCACUCAUCUAGAGCCAGACAUCUUGGAAUGUGAAGUCAAGUGGGUCUUAGAAAGCGUCACUACGAACAAAGUUAGUGGAGGUGAUGGAAUUCCAGUUGAGCUAUUUCAAAUCCUGAAAGAUGAUGCUGUGAAAGUGCUGCACUCAAUAUGCCAGCAAAUUUGGAAAACUCAGCAGUGGCCACAGGACUGGAAAAGGUCAGUUUUCAUUCCAAUUCCAAAGAAAGGCAAUGCCAAAGAAUGUUCAAACUACCACACGAUUGCACUCAUCUCACAUGCUAGUAAAGUAAUGCUCAAAAUUCUCCAAGCCAGGCUUCAGCAAUACGUGAACUGUGAACUCCCUGAUGUUCAAGCUGGUUUUAGAAAAGGCAGAGGAACCAGAGAUCAAAUUGCCAACAUCUGCUGGAUCAUGGAAAAAGCAAGAGAGUUCCAGAAAAACAUCUGUUUCUGCUUUAUUGACUAUGCCAAAGCCUUUGACUGUGUGGAUCACAAUAAACUGUGGAAAAUUAUGAAAGAGAUUGGAAUACCAGACCACCUGACCUGCCUCUUGAGAAAUCUGUAUGCAGGUCAGGAAGCAACAGUUAGAACUGGACAUGGAACAACAGACUGGUUCCAAAUAGGAAAAGGAGUACAUCAAGGCUGUAUAUUAUCACCCUGCUUAUUUCACCUCUAUGCAGAGCACAUCAUGAGAAAUGCUGGAUUGGAAGAAACACAAGCUGGACUCAAGAUUGCCAGGAAAAAUAUCAAUAACCUCAGAUAUGCAGAUGAUACCACCCUUAUGGCAGAAAGUGAAGAGGAACUAGAAAGCCUCUUGAUGAAAGUGAAAGAGGAGAGUGAAAAAGUUGGCUUAAAGCUCAACAUUCAGAAAAUGAAGAUCAUGGCAUCCGGUCCCAUCACUUCAUGGCAAAUAGAUGGGGAAACAGUAGAAACAGUGUCAGACUUUAUUUUGGGGGGCUCCAAAAUCACUGCAGAUAGUGACUGCAACCAUGAAAUUAAAAGACACUUACUCCUUGGAAGAAAAGUUAUGACCAACCUAGAUAAUAUAUUCAAAAGCAGAGACAUUACUUUGCCGACUAAGGUCCGGCUAGUCAAGGCUAUGGUUUUUCCAGUAGUCAUGUGCGGAUAUGAGAGUUGA